GGAAGAUCGAAGAUAGAGAAAGAUCCAGGGGAAACAGGGGAACCAACUGGGAAAUUGUACAGAGUCGGCAUCGUUUCACGUAUGGAACGUCCUCUGUUUCUUCCUUUAACUCUAAAGCUUUCUGCUACUUUGAACCACUGUUUGAGCUUCUAAAAGUUCCUUGUGUACGCUUCAAACAAAUUACGCUUCGAAAGUUUUAGGGGUCAUUAAAAGGAUCUAAUCCGAUUCAAUUUUG
rnacentral:misc_RNA from 1 species